UACGGAGGGGGCUAGCGUUGUUCGGAAUUACUGGGCGUAAAGCGCACGUAGGCGGCUUUGUAAGUUAGAGGUGAAAGCCCGGGGCUCAACUCCGGAAUUGCCUUUAAGACUGCAUCGCUAGAAUUGUGGAGAGGUAAGUGGAAUUCCGAGUGUAGAGGUGAAAUUCGUAGAUAUUCGGAAGAACACCAGUGGCGAAGGCGACUUACUGGACACAUAU
rnacentral:rRNA from 1 species